rnacentral:lncRNA from 1 species
CUUUGUUUGGAAAUAGCAUCUUUGCAGGUGUAAUUAAGCUCUGGAUCUCAGGAUAUCUCCCUGAGUUUAGAGUGGGCCCUGAAUCCAGUGACUGGUGUCCCUGUAAAAAGAGGGAGGACAGAGCAGAGCAAAGGCGCCCUGUGAGGACAGCGGCAGAGGGUGGUGGGACAAGUGGGUUUCAGUCCAGUUGGUGCAACUGUGCUGCAGCAGCCCCAGGGCGCUCCUACCCACAGGCGCUGGGAUUCUCAUUCCUCCUCCAGAGUUUGCAGCCCCACUCAGCAUAGCCCUGGCUCCCUCCCUUCUCCCUGAAGCCCCUCUUCUUCCCCUCUCUGGCCCCUCUCUCAGCCAAAACCAAGCGGUGGGCUCACAGCGGGGGCAACAGGAGGGCUUCCCCACUCCUGCCGCCCACACCCCUCUGAGCCCUUCUCAUCUCCCACCUGCGUGCAGGAAGUGAAAACCUACAACAAAGGAUGGGGGUGAGGGCAGAGUUUGGGAGGAGCCUGGGUUUCAUGAGUGCUCUCCCGGAACCUCUACAGGAUCUCGGGCUGCUCCUGGGCACAGCAGGCCUCAGCCAGGGGAGUGGGAGGGCCCACAGAGGGCACCCACAGAGGGAGUGGGUGGGUUCACAGAGGGAGUGGGUGGGCUCACAGAGGGGGUGGGUGGGCCCCCAGUUCGCCUUGUCACUGGGACCUGGAGAGCUCAGUGCAAGCCCUAGACCGGGCUGGGAGUUGUCGCCGGUCCUGGCGAGUGUGGCCCGGCUGAGCCCGCCCAGGAAGGUCCAGGCCUGCUGGGUGAUGACAGUGCAACAUCUGCAACCCAAGGGAGCAGAUGCCCGGAAGCGGGAGGUGAUGCGCAGCUGGGGAGGGGAGGCACUGGCCUUGUACGCAGGACCGGUGGUCGUCAUGGUCCCUGGAUGUGUGUGUAGACAAAGGGCGGUCUGAGUGGAGGGGGUGAGGGCGGAUUGUUGACAUUUGCGGGCCUCGGAGCUGCCUGAGAGACGGAGGGACUCGCGCGCCUCCCCGGGGAGGUGGGUCUGGGGGCGCUGGGGGCAUGGAAGGGGCGCCGCGCCGGGAGCGGCCCCCACUUACCCCUCGUGUCCCUUGCAGAGGAAGAAGAGCGUGCGCCAGGCGUGCGCGGCGGCCAGCAGCAGAGACAGGAGGCUGGCGAGCAGGCUGAAGCGGCAGGCGGCCGGCGGGCCCCACUCCUGCACCGUGAAGCGCUCGCGCUCCUGCACCGUGAGGUUGGCGCUCAGCCACAUGCCCUCGGUGAAGAGCAGGCAGCGGCCGCGGAAGUCGUGGCCGUUCUCGGACAGCGGGACCACCACCACGAAGCUGAACAGGAAGGCCAAGAAGUAGCAGGCGCACUGAGCGAAAAGGAAAUUGUUGAGCGCCAUGGCCGGCCCGGGCGAGAGCGGCGGCGGGAAGGCCGCGGGAGGCUGCGCCGGGCGGGGAGGCCGCGGGAGGCUGCGCAGUGGCGGCGCCGGCAGGUCCCGCGCGCCCCUCCCGGGACGCGUGCGCAUCGGCCGAGCGCGGGAAGCGCCUGCGGUCAGCACCGCGGACAGCUCCUGGUGCGCGCGGGCCAGGAGCCCGGGGUCCAGGGGCCAGAGAAGGGCGGCCUGCGGGAGAUGCGGGAAUUUUACCAGGUCGGCCUGGAGGGACCGACCCUGUGCCGCUAAAGACUUCGGGAGCCACCUGUACGGGCCUCACACAGGCCGACUCUGGGUCGUCAGUUCCUCAUCAGCUCGAACGAAAGGAGACCAGGAGAGAGAGGGCGGGGCGGGGGGUGUUGGAGGACACCCCCAAGGUGCUCAUAGUGAGGUGUAGGAGUGCGGUUUGCAGUCCAGGCUGAAGUGAUUCCUUUGCGGGGGUCCCGAAAUGCAAUGUAUGAGGGGAGGGGCCAGAUCGUGGAGGAGUCGGGGUCCAAGGGACUGGGACAGAGGUCAUCCUCGAAGAGAUGGGGAGGGUGAGGCCAGGUGUGGGCAGGAGGGGGUGGACCGGGAGCUUCUGCAGCGC